AUUCUGCCCAUGCGGGAAAGGAUGAGAAGCUUCGACCAAGGUUCGACUCGAGCGCCAGCGAGAGAGCGUUGCCGCAGGCAACGACCCGAAGGACGAAGCGCGCAGCGCUGAGUAAUCCUUCCCCCACCACCA
rnacentral:sRNA from 1 species